CACAAACAAACAUUUCGAAGCAGUCCAUUUUCUUUUUCAUUUUUCACACACACUUUUCGUACAUAUAGCUAAAAUAAACAUCUUACAUAUACCAUAACUCAUAAUUCAUCCUUAAAUCACAAGUUUUCAUUUCAUCAAACAAUUUUCAGCAGCUUUUCUCAUGGAGAUUUUCUGGUUUUUCAAAAUUUUCUUGACUUUCACCUUCUUUUUCUUGAUGGGAGAUCCAUUUUUCUCUCAUUCAUCUUCUUUGCCCGAGGGAAUCGCGAAGUCUGCAGCUGUACACCGCAAUUACACCGCCAUAUCAGAGUUUCGAGUACUCAACAGAAAACCUUUGAAGGAUUGCCCCGACCUGAACCCGUAUUUGCAAAUAAACACAAGCUCCAUUGCCAAGCUUUCUGAUGAUGGAUAUAUAACAGUAAAUGUUACAGGAGUUUUACUUCCUUCGGCUACUGAUUGGGUCGCAAUGAUUUCCCCAUCUCAUGCCGUGUAAGAUGAUUAUUUUCGUAUCUAAAUAAUCUGAUUCUACGCUUGAAAAAACGGUAAAUUUAAUCUGAUCUUGCAGUGUAACAGCCUGUUUAGAAAACUCAAUUCUUUAUAAGGAGACAGGAGAUUUUAGUAGUCUUCCUCUUCUCUGCCAUUAUCCUGUUAAGGUAAGUGCAUUCUACUUUUGCAAAACGUUUGAAGGAUUAUAAUAAUCACAGUUUAAUUAGCCUUGAGAUUAUUUUAUAUUUUACUGCGCGCAGCCAUUCUUUUAAUUUAUUUCUUGACAUGCCUGGUUCAUAAUGAUCAGAAAUCUGUUUAAGUAUCAAAUAAUUCAGAAACUGAGAGUUUCUUGAAAAAUUUGUCCUUGAUCCGAUAUUUACUCGACAUAGUAACAACAACAAUAACAAACUAAUGUCGAUCGACUUGGGUUAUUGCUAAAAUUUGCAGGCUCAAUAUUUAAGAAGUGAUCCAGAUUACUUAAGUUGCAAGAAGAAGGAAUGCAAGAAAAAAGUGAAUGGAAAAUGCGUGUUGAGAACAUGUAGUGCGUCUUUGUCAUUUCAUGUCAUUAAUAUUCGAACUGAUAUCGAAUUUGUGCUGUUUGCUGGUGGAUUUGUUGCGCCUUGCAUUUUGAGAAGAUCACAGCCACUCAGAUUUGCCAAUCCAAACAAGCCUUUAUAUGGACAUAUAUCGAGUACCGAUUCAACAGCAAAAUCGGUAUGGAAUGCCAUCUCUGAUCUCCAAUAUCCAUGCAUGUGGUUGAGAAUUAAUUAUUUUAUUUUUAUUUACAACAUUUUAGAGGAAAUAGUUCGACGAUUUUUUAUUUAUUUAUUUUUGAUAAUAUGUUAUUAAAAAGCGGAAGUUAUGAAUUUCAUAAAAUGUGUGUGACUGAAAAUUAUUUGAACGAAAAAAGUUUAAGAAAAAGUUGUAUCAAACAUGCCUUUAUUUAACCCCUAUUUGGUAUAGCUAAAAAUUAAUUUUUUGUAAAUUUUAAUAAAAGUUGAUGAAAUGUAUUGAAAAGUUUGAAUCCCUUAAAUUAUUUAAUUAAAAUAAAAUUUUAAUUUUCACCAUAAUUUUUCAAUUCCUUACUCCUGUAAGAAAUGGCACAAGGCUUUGUUGACUUUGCUAUCAUUAAUUGCCUUGUCCGCCCGGCAAGAUUAUCGUUCACAAGCAUCUGCAAUUUCCUCUUUUUAAUAAAUUAAACAGCUGUGAUGGGAUGGCAACAUAUUUACCUUCUUUAUGGGAUUAAAAUCAAAAUUUAUUGAUAAAAAUUAAUAAAAUGUAUGAUUGAAAAGUUGUGAAUCCUAUAAAAUAUAUUAUUAAAUCUAAUUAUUAAUUAUAAUUAUAAUUAUAAUUUUAAAUCCUAAUGAAUGGGGACUUAAAGAUCUACCACCAACUUAACUGAGCAAUUACUGUUGUGCAGAACAAAUAUUGAAUAUUCUCACCUUUUACUGAAUUAAGUAAUUAAUUCAGUGUACUCGUGGGAUUAAAAAGUCAGCAGCAGUUGACUGCAAAAUUUUGAGGUGUGAAAGAAGAAAAAACGUAGCAGUGCUUUCAAACGUAGGGCCACAUAAUAUUAGUGCAUGGGAAGUGAUAAAUAAUUAUAUAUUUAAUUAGGUAUAUUUUUUAUGCUGAUGAGAUUAGACAUUAUAAAGAAUAGAUUUUGUAAUGUUUUUUCCCAAAGUUUGAUGCAUUAUAAUUUUGACGUGUCAAAAUUUUAGUGAGACGCAUUUUUGCCUUUAAAAAAAACAACGAAAGAGACAACAAGAUAGAGCAACAAAUGUAGACUCGUCGUGAACGCAUUAACACCUGUAUUUGAUAUGAAUAUAUUUGGUAAGAUUUGAUAUGAAUAUAUGGAGAAUAUAAUGGAUUUUUCAAAAUUGUGAUAAUUGCAGAUGAGAGUAACAUGGGUGAGUGGAAACCAACAGCCUCAACAUGUUCAAUUUGGAAAUGGGAAAUCAGUUACCUCACUUGUUUCUACUUUUUCACAAAGUGAUAUGUGCAACAGUAAGUUUCUUAUUCUCCUCGUGCUUUUGCUUAAAGUAGCUUAAAACCGUAUAUCUUUGAGACUUUUAUAAACAACCAAAUGACUUGAUUGAACAUCGUUUUGUCUACCCAUUUGAGAAGACUAAUGUUAUUCGGCACAACUAAUGUUAUAGUUUUUUCCAUGAAUUCUCGAAGGGAUUGGCAUCUUCAAUCUAGAUUAAUGUUUUAUUCUAAAAUAUUGUUUCCUUUUUAUCGAAAAUAAGCUUCCUACUUACAAAGUCCUGCCAAGGAUUUUGGGUGGCAUGACCCUGGCUACAUUCAUUCAGCUGUAAUGACAGGACUCAACCCUUCAACCAAGUACCUCUACAGAUAUGGAAGGUAAAU
rnacentral:lncRNA from 1 species